rnacentral:rRNA from 1 species
UUAAGCGACUAAGCGUACACGGUGGAUGCCCUGGCAGUCAGAGGCGAUGAAGGACGUGCUAAUCUGCGAUAAGCGUCGGUAAGGUGAUAUGAACCGUUAUAACCGGCGAUUUCCGAAUGGGGAAACCCAGUGUGUUUCGACACACUAUCAUUAACUGAAUCCAUAGGUUAAUGAGGCGAACCGGGGGAACUGAAACAUCUAAGUACCCCGAGGAAAAGAAAUCAACCGAGAUUCCCCCAGUAGCGGCGAGCGAACGGGGAGCAGCCCAGAGCCUGAAUCAGUGUGUGUGUUAGUGGAAGCGUCUGGAAAGGCGCGCGAUACAGGGUGACAGCCCCGUACACAAAAAUGCACAUGCUGUGAGCUCGAUGAGUAGGGCGGGACACGUGGUAUCCUGUCUGAAUAUGGGGGGACCAUCCUCCAAGGCUAAAUACUCCUGACUGACCGAUAGUGAACCAGUACCGUGAGGGAAAGGCGAAAAGAACCCCGGCGAGGGGAGUGAAAAAGAACCUGAAACCGUGUACGUACAAGCAGUGGGAGCACGCUUAGGCGUGUGACUGCGUACCUUUUGUAUAAUGGGUCAGCGACUUAUAUUCUGUAGCAAGGUUAACCGAAUAGGGGAGCCGAAGGGAAACCGAGUCUUAACUGGGCGUUAAGUUGCAGGGUAUAGACCCGAAACCCGGUGAUCUAGCCAUGGGCAGGUUGAAGGUUGGGUAACACUAACUGGAGGACCGAACCGACUAAUGUUGAAAAAUUAGCGGAUGACUUGUGGCUGGGGGUGAAAGGCCAAUCAAACCGGGUUAUAGCUGGUUCUCCCCGAAAGCUAUUUAGGUAGCGCCUCGUGAAUUCAUCUCCGGGGGUAGAGCACUGUUUCGGCAAGGGGGUCAUCCCGACUUACCAACCCGAUGCAAACUGCGAAUACCGGAGAAUGUUAUCACGGGAGACACACGGCGGGUGCUAACGUCCGUCGUGAAGAGGGAAACAACCCAGACCGCCAGCUAAGGUCCCAAAGUCAUGGUUAAGUGGGAAACGAUGUGGGAAGGCCCAGACAGCCAGGAUGUUGGCUUAGAAGCAGCCAUCAUUUAAAGAAAGCGUAAUAGCUCACUGGUCGAGUCGGCCUGCGCGGAAGAUGUAACGGGGCUAAACCAUGCACCGAAGCUGCGGCAGCGACGCUGAUGCGUUGUUGGGUAGGGGAGCGUUCUGUAAGCCUGCGAAGGUGUGCUGUGAGGCAUGCUGGAGGUAUCAGAAGUGCGAAUGCUGACAUAAGUAACGAUAAAGCGGGUGAAAAGCCCGCUCGCCGGAAGACCAAGGGUUCCUGUCCAACGUUAAUCGGGGCAGGGUGAGUCGACCCCUAAGGCGAGGCCGAAAGGCGUAGUCGAUGGGAAACAGGUUAAUAUUCCUGUACUUGGUGUUACUGCGAAGGGGGGACGGAGAAGGCUAUGUUGGCCGGGCGACGGUUGUCCCGGUUUAAGCGUGUAGGCUGGUUUUCCAGGCAAAUCCGGAAAAUCAAGGCUGAGGCGUGAUGACGAGGCACUACGGUGCUGAAGCAACAAAUGCCCUGCUUCCAGGAAAAGCCUCUAAGCAUCAGGUAACAUCAAAUCGUACCCCAAACCGACACAGGUGGUCAGGUAGAGAAUACCAAGGCGCUUGAGAGAACUCGGGUGAAGGAACUAGGCAAAAUGGUGCCGUAACUUCGGGAGAAGGCACGCUGAUAUGUAGGUGAAGUCCCUUGCGGAUGGAGCUGAAAUCAGUCGAAGAUACCAGCUGGCUGCAACUGUUUAUUAAAAACACAGCACUGUGCAAACACGAAAGUGGACGUAUACGGUGUGACGCCUGCCCGGUGCCGGAAGGUUAAUUGAUGGGGUCAGCGCAAGCGAAGCUCUUGAUCGAAGCCCCGGUAAACGGCGGCCGUAACUAUAACGGUCCUAAGGUAGCGAAAUUCCUUGUCGGGUAAGUUCCGACCUGCACGAAUGGCGUAAUGAUGGCCAGGCUGUCUCCACCCGAGACUCAGUGAAAUUGAACUCGCUGUGAAGAUGCAGUGUACCCGCGGCAAGACGGAAAGACCCCGUGAACCUUUACUAUAGCUUGACACUGAACAUUGAGCCUUGAUGUGUAGGAUAGGUGGGAGGCUUUGAAGUGUGGACGCCAGUCUGCAUGGAGCCGACCUUGAAAUACCACCCUUUAAUGUUUGAUGUUCUAACGUUGACCCGUAAUCCGGGUUGCGGACAGUGUCUGGUGGGUAGUUUGACUGGGGCGGUCUCCUCCUAAAGAGUAACGGAGGAGCACGAAGGUUGGCUAAUCCUGGUCGGACAUCAGGAGGUUAGUGCAAUGGCAUAAGCCAGCUUGACUGCGAGCGUGACGGCGCGAGCAGGUGCGAAAGCAGGUCAUAGUGAUCCGGUGGUUCUGAAUGGAAGGGCCAUCGCUCAACGGAUAAAAGGUACUCCGGGGAUAACAGGCUGAUACCGCCCAAGAGUUCAUAUCGACGGCGGUGUUUGGCACCUCGAUGUCGGCUCAUCACAUCCUGGGGCUGAAGUAGGUCCCAAGGGUAUGGCUGUUCGCCAUUUAAAGUGGUACGCGAGCUGGGUUUAGAACGUCGUGAGACAGUUCGGUCCCUAUCUGCCGUGGGCGCUGGAGAACUGAGGGGGGCUGCUCCUAGUACGAGAGGACCGGAGUGGACGCAUCACUGGUGUUCGGGUUGUCAUGCCAAUGGCACUGCCCGGUAGCUAAAUGCGGAAGAGAUAAGUGCUGAAAGCAUCUAAGCACGAAACUUGCCCCGAGAUGAGUUCUCCCUGACUCCUUGAGAGUCCUGAAGGAACGUUGAAGACGACGACGUUGAUAGGCCGGGUGUGUAAGCGCAGCGAUGCGUUGAGCUAACCGGUACUAAUGAACCGUGAGGCUUAACCUU